GACCACGGAGAUGUAGCCCAGACGCUUAGCAAUCGCCAAGGCGGUGUUGCCAUUCUGAAGAGAGUGCAAUGAAAGAGAGAAAGAGGGAGAACUGAGAGGGAGGACCGCGCUGCGAGCCAAUGAGCUCACCGGCUGCUCCGCCUGAGCCAGCAUUUCCUUCCAAAACCAGGCACAGCUUAGGAAAAUCACUAGUUUUUACCAUUACAUCUGAAUCUCUUUGUAACUUCUUUAGACUAUGGCCCGGGUCACCAUGGUAACACAACAAGCUGCAUCUGCCUGCUCUUCUAAUAAGAAGCACUUGACGCUUUAACCCUGAGGUUGUCAAACAUUCUCUACAAGAUACUGCACUGUGUUUAGGAAAGGACCCCGUGAACUGCGGACGCUGCCUCCGAAAAUGAUUUAGCCAGAACCGAGUACCGUUACUCCCCGUCAGAGGUCAGGCCAUCUGCUGCAGGAAACAGUGCAGAUGGUUCAGGGACUUGCAUCCAGGACUUCAAGAUGAAAUGGAACUCCAGCAAGAAGCAAAUGGGAAGAUCGGAAACGAAGGCCAAAAAUGUAUUAUUUGACCAUUUUCUGGAAAACAGAGAUUAAGAGGAAUUAAAGUGGUUCUCCAGGAUUGUUCAAGAUCACCAGGCUAUUAAAACAAGACUUGAAUUCAGGCAUUGGAUUCCAAAGACACUCAUUGGCCUAUACAUCCUACAGAAAUAGACACAGUAAGUUGGCCACUGAGAAAACUAACAGAAUGGGGUGACUCUCAAUAGGAAAGAAGAUGGAAAGCACUUUAGAAGAUACAACUGUCUUCUGAAACACAACAAAGAAGAAAAUAGACAAAUGGGGAAAAUUAAAUUACAAAGAUAGAUGGAGAACAAAACAACAAUAAAAGAACCAAAGAACCUAAUAGCUAUCAUGAACAUCUGUUGCUUCUGGGUUUCCCUUCUUGCACUUCUGCCUAAUACAAUUUGAUAGAGUCCGUGACAAACGAGGAACUUACCCAGACAUCCAGUAUACCCUGAAGUUUAACUUCAUAGUCGAUCUGGCAUAACUUAAACUGCUUUACAUGAUACGAAGUUGUCUUUUAUCCAUCAAACCUAAAAUCUGUCAUCAUCAUAUUUGACUACGUGAUUACAACUUGAUCCCAUUUUAAGGAGAAAUUCCUUAAAGACCAGGUCAACACAGUGCAAAGAAAAUCAUGUCAUUUGUACCAUACGUAAGUCAUUUCUUUUCAGAAUUCAAAAUUUACUUCUGAAAUAAAGUAUUUCACGUUGGAUUUGUCUUUGCGUUAUAAGGCUGGACAAUGACUGUUUACAGAAGGAAUUUGAUUUGCCCAGGAUGUCCCUCUAUUAUUAAUGAGCAUAUUCUA